rnacentral:rRNA from 1 species
AGCGAACGCUGGCGGCAGGCCUAACACAUGCAAGUCGAACGGAUCCUUCGGGAUUAGUGGCGGACGGGUGAGUAACACGUGGGAACGUGCCCUUUGGUUCGGAACAACUCAGGGAAACUUGAGCUAAUACCGGAUGUGCCCUUCGGGGGAAAGAUUUAUCGCCAUUGGAGCGGCCCGCGUCUGAUUAGCUAGUUGGUGAGGUAAAGGCUCACUAAGGCGACGAUCAGUAGCUGGUCUGAGAGGAUGAUCAGCCACAUUGGGACUGAGACACGGCCCAAACUCCUACGGGAGGCAGCAGUGGGGAAUCUUGCGCAAUGGGCGAAAGCCUGACGCAGCCAUGCCGCGUGAAUGACGAAGGUCUUAGGAUUGUAAAAUUCUUUCACCGGGGACGAUAAUGACGGUACCCGGAGAAGAAGCCCCGGCUAACUUCGUGCCAGCCGCCGCGGUAAGAC